GUGGUGGUGUUAGUUUAACUGGUGGUGGUGUUAGUUUAACUGGUGGUGGUGUUAGUUUAACUGGUGGUGGUGUUAGUUUAACUGGUGGUGGUGUUAGUUUAGCUGGUGGUGUUAUUAGUUUAGCUGGUGGUGUUAUUAGUUUAACUGGUGGUGGUGUUAGUUUAGCUGGUGGUGCAGUUUGUUUAGCUGGUGGUGCAGUUUGUUUAGCUGGUGGUGUUAGUUUAGCUGGUGGUGUUAUUCAUUUAGCUGUUGUUAGUUUAGUAGUGGUCUACAUACAGUAAUGGGUGCCCAGUAGGCUGGUCAAAGUAGCUGGUGGUGUUAGUUUAACUGGUGGUGUUAGUUUAACUGGUGUUAGUUUAGCUGGUGGUGGUGUUAGUUCAGCUGGUGGUGGUGUUAGUUUAACUGCUGGUGGUGUUAGUUUAACUGGUGGUGGUGUUAGUUUAGCUGGUGGUGUUAGUUUAGCUGGUGGUGGUGUUAGUUUAACUGGUGGUGGUGUUAGUUUAACUGGUGUUGGUGUUAGUUUAACUGGUGGUGGUGAAAGUUUAGCUGGUGGUGUUAGUUUAACUGGUGGUGGUGUUAGUUUAGCUGGUGGUGUUAGUUUAACUGGUGGUGUUAGUUUAGCUGGUGGUGUUAGUUUAGCUGGUGGUGGUGUUAGUUUAGCUGGUGGUGGUGUUAGUUUAGCUGGUGGUGUUAGUUUAACUGGUGGUGGUGUUAGUUUAGCUGGUGGUGGUGUUAGUUUAGCUGGUGGUGUUAGUUUAACUGGUGGUGGUGUUAGUUUAGCUGGUGGUGGUGUUAGUUUAGCUGGUGGUGGUGUUAGUUUAGCUGGUGGUGUUAGUUUAACUGGUGGUGGUGUUAGUUUAACUGGUGGUGUUAGUUUAACUGGUGGUGUUAGUUUAGCUGGUGGUGGUGUUAGUUUAGCUGGUAGUGGUGUUAGUUUAGCUGGUGGUGGUGUUAGUUUAGCUGGUGGUGUUAGUUUAACUGGUGGUGGUGUUAGUUUAACUGCUGGUGGUGUUAGUUUAGCUGGUCGUGUUAGUUUAACUGGUGCUGUUAGUUUAGCUGGUGGUGUUAGUUUAACUGGUGGUGUUAGUUUAGCUGGUGGUGUUAAUUUAACUGGUGGUGGUGUUACUGGUGGUUGUGUUAGUUUAGCAGGUGGUGGUGUUAGUUUAGCUGGUGGUGGUGUUAGUUUAGCUGGUGGUGGUGUUAGUUUAACUGGUGGUGGUGUUAGUUUAGCUGGUGGUGUUAGUUUAGCUGGUGGUGUUAGUUUAGCUGGUGGUGGUGUUAGUUUAGCUGGUGGUGUUAGUUUAGCUGGUGGUGUUAGUUUAGCUGGUGGUGGUGUUAGUUUAGCUGGUGGUGGUGUUAGUUUAGCUGGUGGUGGUGUUAGUUUAGCUGGUGGUGGU
rnacentral:lncRNA from 1 species